AUUGAACGCUGGCGGCAUGCCUUACACAUGCAAGUCGAACGGCAGCACGGGGGCAACCCUGGUGGCGAGUGGCGAACGGGUGAGUAAUACAUCGGAACGUGCCCAGUAGUGGGGGAUAGCCCGGCGAAAGCCGGAUUAAUACCGCAUACGACCUACGGGUGAAAGCGGGGGAUCGCAAGACCUCGUGCUACCGGAGCGGCCGAUGUCAGAUUAGGUUGUUGGUGGGGUAAAAGCCUACCAAGCCGACGAUCUGUAGCUGGUCUGAGAGGACGACCAGCCACACUGGGACUGAGACACGGCCCAGACUCCUACGGGAGGCAGCAGUGGGGAAUUUUGGACAAUGGGCGCAAGCCUGAUCCAGCCAUGCCGCGUGCGGGAAGAAGGCCUGGUUGUAACG
rnacentral:rRNA from 1 species